rnacentral:tRNA from 2 species
GGCGACGUAGCUCAGUUGGUUAGAGCGGGCGACUCAUAACCGCCAGGUCACAGGUUCAAGUCCUGUCGUCGCCA